rnacentral:rRNA from 1 species
UACGUAGGGGGCAAGCGUUACUCGGAAUUACUGGGCGUAAAGGGUGAGUAGGCGGCUGGGCAAGUCAAGGAUGAAAUCCCGAGGCUCAACUUCGGAACCGUCCUUGAAACUGCUCAGCUUGAGGGUAGUUGAGGAGAGCGGAAUUCCCGGUGGAGCGGUGAAAUGCGUAGAUAUCGGGAGGAACACCUGAGGCGAAGGCGGCUCUCUAAGCUACUCCUGACGCUGAAUCACGAAAGCUAGGGGAGCAAACGGGAUUAGAAACCCUCGUAGUCC